UGGCUCAGUGGUUAGAGCACUGGCUGCUCCUCCAGAGGUCCUGAGUUCAAAUCCCAG
rnacentral:tRNA from 1 species